rnacentral:rRNA from 1 species
GAGAGGGAAAGCAGAGGACCUUCGUGCCUUGCGCUAUCCGAGCGGCCAAUAUCUGAUUAUCUACUCAGCGGGGUAAAUGCCCACCAACACGACCAU